AAAUCUAUUACCACAAUUAAGUUCCUUUUGUGUCCAUUUACUUUCUUGCUUGAAACUCUAUCCAUUUGUUUCAUUUCAUUCAUUCAUCUCUUGUUUCACACCUCUCAAAAUCUCUACUAAAUUUUCAAACACAAUUUAAGAUAAUGAAUGAAUUCAUAUAACACAACAAUGACAGCACCCAUUCUCCAAUUAACUUCAUUUUCUCCCACAAAACCCAACACACAAACAACAACACUUGUUCCAUUACCUCAUAUCCUUUCUCUCAUACCCAAAUGCACUACUCUCACAGACCUAAAGCAAAUUCAAGCUUAUGCCAUCAAAACCAAUCUCCAAUACAACACCAAUGUUAACACAAAGUUCAUAAAUUUCUGCACUUCAAACCCAACAAAAGCUUCUAUGGACCAUGCACACAACCUGUUCGAUCAAAUUACUCAACCAAAUAUUGUUCUUUUUAACACCAUGGCACGUGGGUAUGCUCGCUCUAACGACCCUCUUAGAGCGAUUAUUUUGUUUUGUCGCGUGCUGUGGUCUGACCUUGUUCCCGAUGAUUACACAUUUUCUUCACUUCUUAAAGCUUGUUCAAAGGUUAAGGCUUUGGAGGAAGGGAAACAGCUUCAUUGCUUUGCUUUGAAACUUGGGGUUAGUGAUAACAUUUAUGUUGUUCCGACACUUAUUAAUAUGUAUACUUCUUGUGGAGAAAUUGAUGAUGCUAGAAGGGUUUUUGAUAAGAUUGAUGAACCUUGUGUUGUUGCAUAUAAUGCGAUUAUUACGAGUUUGGCUAGGAAUAAUCAACCUAAUGAGGCGUUGGCUUUGUUUAGAGAGUUGCAGGAGAGUGGUCUUAAGCCAACUGAUGUUACCAUGCUUGUUGCACUUUCGUCCUGCGCUAUGCUUGGAUCGUUGGAUUUGGGGAGGUGGAUACACGAGUAUGUUAAGAAGUACGGGUUUGAUCGAUAUGUGAAGGUAAAUACAGCUCUUAUAGAUAUGUAUGCUAAAUGUGGAAGUUUGGAUGAUGCUGUUAAUGUGUUUAGGGGUAUGCCUAAGAGAGAUACACAGACGUGGUCGACAAUUAUCAUUGCUUAUGCAACACAUGGGGAUGGUUUCCAGGCCAUAUCGAUGUUGAAAGAAAUGAAGAAGGAAAAAGUGCAGCCUGAUGAGAUAACUUUUUUAGGUAUAUUGUAUGCAUGCAGUCACAAUGGAUUGGUAGAAGAAGGUUUUGAGUAUUUUCAUAGUAUGACCAAUGAGUAUGGGAUUGUUCCUAGUAUCAAGCAUUAUGGGUGUAUGGUGGAUUUGCUUGGUCGAGCUGGAAGGUUGGACGAAGCCUAUAAAUUCAUAGAUGAAUUACCAAUCAAGCCGACACCGAUUCUGUGGCGGACAUUGCUAUCUGCUUGUAGUAGUCAUGGGAAUGUUGAAAUGGGAAAGCAAGUAAUGGAAAGAAUCUCUGAAUUGGAUGAUUCCCAUGGUGGAGAUUAUGUUAUUUUGUCGAACUUGUGUGCAAGAUAUGGAAAAUGGGAUGAUGUGAAUCACUUAAGGAAAAUUAUGAUAGACAAAGGAGCUGUAAAAAUUCCUGGUUGUAGCUCUAUAGAGGUCAACAAUGUUGUGCAUGAGUUCUUUGCGGGGGAUGGAAUUCAUUCCAUUUCUACCACAUUGCACCGUGCACUUGAUGAGUUGAUAAAGGAAUUGAAGUUGGCUGGGUAUGUAGCUGACACAUCACUAGUCUUUCAUCCAGACAUGGAAGAUGAAGACAAAGAAAUUAUCCUUCGAUAUCACAGUGAGAAAAUUGCCAUUACUUUUGGACUUCUGAAUACGCCCCCCGGAACAACAAUUCGUGUCGUCAAGAACCUUAGAGUCUGUGGUGAUUGCCAUAAUGCUGCUAAAUUUAUAUCAUUGGUUUUUGGUAGGCAAAUUAUUCUCAGAGAUGUUCAGAGGUUUCACCAUUUCAAAGAUGGGAAAUGCUCUUGUGGUGAUUACUGGUAAAGUGGUAGUAGAGUGCUGAGUCAAGAAUCAAUCUUACAACAUCUGUUGCCACAGGAUUAAGUGCUACUAGUUUUGUUUGGAAGGAUCAGCCAGUAAACCACUGUAUGCAGCCUAGAAGAAGAAAGGUGACUAUUUUUACAUGACCAAGAUAAUCUACUUGGUUAGAUGGAGAGAAAUUGUUACAGGAGGUCAGACAAGAUAGUGAAUUGCAGAAAAUUGUGGAAGAACUCAAAGUAAAUCCUGAAAGUAAAGUGGGGUUCACAGUGAACCAAGAUAUUUUAUUUUACAAGGGUCGUUUAGUGCUAUCUCCUAAUUCACCUACUAUCCCAUUGUUGCUGAAAGAAUUUCAUGAAACACCUAUGGGAGGACAUUCAGGAUUUCUUAGAACUUAUAGAAGAUUAGCAGCAAAUCUGUACUGGCCUGGUAUGCAGAAGAGAAUAAGAGAUUUUGUUAGGGCUUGUGACACUUGUCAGAGGCAGAAGUAUGCAGCUACUGUGCCUGGGGGUUUUCUCCAACCCUUAUCUAUUCUAAAUGCCAUCUGGGAAGACCUUUCCUUGGAUUUUAUUACUGGUUUGCCAAGGUCUAAAGGAUUUGAAGCUGUACUGGUGGUGGACAGAUUGUCCAAGUACAGUCAUUUCUUACUGCUCAAGCAUCCCUAUACUGCUAAGUGUAGCAGAACUGUUUGUUAAGGAGAUUGUGAGGUUGCAUGGUGUGCCUAUUUCCAUCAUUAGUGACAGAGAUCCAUUGUUUGUAAGUCAUUUCUGGAUGGAGUUAUUCAAGCUGCAAGGUACUCAACUGAACGUGAGUUCAGCUUACGAUCUAGAGACGGAUGGCCAAACUGAGGUUACUAACAGGUGCUUAGAGAGUUAUUUACGUUGUUUUGCUUCUGAACAACCCAAAACAUGGUCUCACUGGAUCCCAUGGGCAGAGUUCUGGUACAACUCUACCUUCCAUGUUUCCAUUGGCAAAACACCUUUUGAGGUGGUGUAUGGUAGACAACCACCAAACAUAAUUCGUUUUCUAAGCAAUGAAAAGAAAGUUGCUGCAGUGGCUACGGAGUUAAGUGAAAGAGAUGAAGCCUUAACUCAAUUGAAGGCUCAUUCGUUGAGGGCUCAACAAUAAAUGAAGAAGUAUGCUGAUAAGAAGAGAAGAGAGGUACAAUUUUAAAUUAAUGAUUGGGUUUUUCUCAAAUUAUUACGCCCUCAUAGGCAACAAUCUGUGGCAAAACGCAUUAAUCCUAAAUUAGCUGCAUGGUUUUAUGGCCCUUUCAAGAUCAUAGAAAAACUGGGUGAAGUGGCCUACAAGUUACAGCUCCCUGCUCAUUUACGAAUCCAUCCAGUAUUCCAUGUUUCGUUAUUAAAAAAGGCCAUUGAUGACUAUGCUGUGCAGGGUGAUUUGCCAAAGGAGCUAGAGAUUCAACCUGUAGAGGAUUUCUAUCCAGAGAAGGUUGUUCGAUCUAGAAUCAUUAAUCAAGGUGGGGUGAGCACUCCUCUAAGUCUCAUACAAUGGAAGAAUAAAUCUAUUGAAGAUGCGACUUGGGAAGACAGUGUGUUUAUUAGGGGACAGUUUCCUGAAUUUAAUCUUGAGGACAAGAUUUUUACUAAGGAGGGUGGAAUUGAUAGAAACUUGACUGAAGAAGUGGGCCUUGAUGUGAAUUAUGAUAAGCCCAAAAUAUGGAGGUUCUACAAGAGAAAACGUAUGGAAGGUGCUGAGCUGGUACAUGCACGAGGCAUGAGGAAUAUCAAGUUAGUUAGUAUAUAUGAUGUAACAGGGGUGUGAGAGAAUCAUCCUUGAUUUCUGUUUUAAGAAAGAGAAAGUAGAUCACCAUUGUGGUGAGGGAAGCCGUUAGUGCUUUUGGGGUUGGUAGCUAUCGCUAUCAAUAUAUUCCAUUUCUCUAUUUCCUUUGUACUUGUUUCCAGUAAUCAAUAUAAUACCAUUUUCCUUUCCAA